UUGGCUCCUUUUGCCACUAUUAUGACAUGUAAGUCUCAUACUAUGAUUUACUGCCAUUUUGUUUUUCAUUCAAAAUUAUUAAGAGAGUGAUGAAUCAAUAGUCAUAUUUAUAUAAAGAAGCUAGGCACAUGAUCAAGUUUUUUUAUGAGUGACUCGCAACAAACAGAAAAAGCAUGCUGCAUUAAAACUCAUGUAUAAUUGCCCGUGUCAGGCUUGCAGUCAAAUUUGGUGUGAGAUAGAGCAGUGUGUCAUGAUUUAUGGGAUGAAUCAUAAUUAAUUUAAUUAAUUCUGAACACUAAGUCGCUGGGAUUUUUAUUGUCCACAAAAAUUAGCUAAUAGAAAAACACACUUUUCAACUUUUGUAUUUUUUAAAUAAAAUAGACGUGACAGUCAAGAGAAAAAGGUUCCAGACUUUUAAGCAUCAAUCCUUUCGGUAUUGAUACUACCGAUAUUUGAAUCGACCUCUAUUAGUUAUCGUCUCAAAAUAAGGUUGUUGGUGAAAACAGUAACGAAACUCGUGGGUCAACAAAGUGAACGCUGACACACAAACAUGGGAGGGCAACCCAAACAAAUGUGUUUCACUGAUUUACAGUCCGACACAGUUAAGUAUUAGUUUUUUAAAUCAAUGAUUCAUGAUCCUUUUUUAAACAUGUUGCACAAUCAGGGCUGCUUGACAACAAAUUUUCAGGCUGUUUUUUGUUGCAGGUUGCCCCCGUUGGGCCGAAUGCAUGCAAGAGACUGCAGCUGGCAUGAGCACGGGGCAGCACAAAGCAUCGAAACUAUAUACGGUUGAUUCAAAGUGCAAACCCGGGGCUUUAAAUCUUUAUUCCCACCCUGACGGAUCAGAUUCAGCUUUCAUGCUUACUCCCAUCAUGUGACACGCUGCAGCUAUCAGAACAUUAAAUGAAUUCUCAGCUGUGGCUGCACAACAAGCAACUUCAAAGCGCAGCAGUGCUUUAGUUGAGAGUUCUUGGAUCAGACAUCAAACGUGUUAUCACUGUAACUUUGCAGCAGAUGAAAAGGACAGGAUUUUCCUUUCUGCUUGAUACCUGGAGAAAGUAUUCCCGAAUCAAGGCUUUGAUACGGUUCUAGGAGCCAAAUAAGGCUAGCCACUGUGUGCGCAACUCAAAAACGCAGAAGAGAUGCAUGACACCCAAGCAUGUGACAUCUUUGCAAGUCAGAAACACAAUGAAAAUUUCAUGCAGGCUGCUUCUUUUGUUUGCAUACUGAUGGAUAUUUUAAGCAUGUAAUAACAUAUAAGACUUCCGAUGAGCGAUUGCUUUUCAUACCUCAGUCAAAACAAGAAAGAUGGACCAAUUUCAAAAUACGUGUUUGAGGCUUUAACUGUAGAGUGGAGCUUCUCCUUUGAUGUCUGCAGUAAUUCUUUGGUCUGGUGGUCUGGACUGCUGCGUCACGUGGUUUCCUGCUGGCCAGCCCACGUGAUAUCGGCUGCUCCUUACUGGAAGACAGGAAACACCGUUCUGCGGUGUCUCACGUGCUUCACAUGUCUCUCGGAAGAUGCGAGUGGGCUCAUUUAUAAUGCAUUAAUGGACAGGGCCACAGGAAAGCCUGUCUCCUGAUGGAGGAGCACCAGAGCAUUUCCAUUCAUCUUAGCUGGAUACCAACUCACAGCAGACAGGGCCAUGAUACAGCUGUUUGACUCCUGCCAGCAAAACAGUGGCAAUCAAUCAUUUUGUAGGCCACUGGGAAAGACGACAUAAUAGCUACAGUGGAAAUCAAAACUUUGGCACAUCACCCGCACCUACAUCUUAAUUUAAAUUUUCUUUCUGGAACCGUUUGACAAUUUUGGACACACCCCGUCUUGUGAAAAAGUCCUGAUGCAAAGUUUUGCAGGUUUUGCCUCAGCCCCCGAGCCCUGCAGCCCCCGCUGUCUUUCCAAUGUUACGUCUCUUGUCUCGUGUUGUGGCUAUCUUCAGAACAUGAUGCAAGGCAAGGCGGUGAGCGAGAAACAUGUGGCUGGUGGCUCAGCGUUGCCCGGGGAGAGGGACCUCACCUUGAUUGUUGCUGAUGAGGGCUGACUUCACUCCCGGCACUCAGACACCAGAUUUCCUUCAACUGAUAAGACAGCAACAAUACUCGGACACCUGGUGCUCAUCUCUGAGACGGAAGCUUUGACAAAACAUCAGUAUUUGACUCCCUGGGAAUGAGGACGGGCUUUCACUUGCUGCAUCGCAGAACUCCGAAAGAGACGGGGCUUUUAUCUCCUGCGUUCCCUCAGUCUGGCUGCCUUUCUCUUAUUUCACAUUAUUCAGUGAAAAGCUAAAAGUCAAAGUUUAUCUCACUGUGUCUCUAUGGCUGUGUCAGCCCCACUCAUUACUCUACUCUGUUAUCAUCUCCCUGCUUUCCCAACCUGAUACUUUUUGAUGUUUUAUGUAAAAUCAAAGGACAGAGUGGCACAGAAAAGGCGUGUGAGAGGGGCUCGCGCGGCUACCUCGCUUACACAAUGAAACAAAGCCUAAUUGAAGAGGGAGAAAAAAAUGAAACAAUGCCAAGAUUCACAUUUUUACAGCAGGUAGUUUAGAAGAACUGACAAAGGUCUGCAAAGGCAGGCUCACAAAUAAUUGUAGAAUCUCUGUGCAUUUAUAAAAGAGCCACAAAAUUGAAAUUAGAAGCUUCAGUUUUAAACGCUACACAUCAACCUGAUCUCCUCAAUCACCGCCAUCUCAUCAGUUUUGUGUCCCUCUAAGCUCAGUGAGUGUUUUGCAUAUGGUCUGCUGGUUUUACAUGUGAGCCACAUUAUUGUCACCUUGCUGAAUUGCAAAAUAAAAAAUGAAUUAAGGAGACAAAAAAAGACUAUCUUGCAUUCUGUACCCACUAAGGGGGAGUAGCUCUGCCCUCCUGUGAAUUAGCCUUCAGACUUCAGUAAGCUUGUUUCUUAAAGAACAAAUUAGUGUCUGCAGUAUGUUGUGCCCUUUUACUUCAGGUUUACCACGGCACAGAUUAAUCAUCGCUCAAUCGGAUUCUCUGCUAAUAAAGCCUUGGGGCAGAAUUGCACUAUUACUUGAAUUAAUUAACAGAACUUGCUGCUCUAGUCAUAUUUUAAAAGACUGUAGUGCACUUUGAAUUUUUGCUAUAACCCCCCCCAAACUACAGUGUGUGUCUUUUCUUUCUCCAGGCCUCUGAAGUCAUGUGGGUUGCUGGCCUAGUUUAGGCAGAAUCGAGUCAACAUACAGUCAGGCCCAUAUGUUUUUGGACAAUUACACUUUCAGAAUUUUGUCUUUGCAUGUUUUAUACAUAGAGCUCUUUUUCAGAAGCUCAAAAGUAAUUGGAUAAUCAACAGACAAGCAACAUCAUGGCCAGAAGAGGUUCUCUUGUUAUUUCAUGAACCAAAAGCCCUGAAAGACCACAAAAGAACAUUAAAGUGGAGAAACAUUGAAAUUCUUCCUUGGUUCAGAAAAACAAUUACAAAGUCUAGACAAGUCAAGAACAUGCUUAAGG